UGACUGACUUAUUUGGACACCUUCACAGAGAACCCUGCAGCUCCACAUCAAGCCGUGGCAGCUAAUAAUUUGGCUAACCAAGCAUCAAGUGCAAUCCCAGAAAGAGGGCAACAACAUCCUUUUGAUGCUGUAGUGACCUCAUGCAGCGAAAAUGGAAGUCAAGGUGCACGUUAUGGAGCAUCUGGAAACCAACAAGAUUCCUUGAGAGAGUAUGGAGGAUCUUUAGUGACAGAGACCACUACAGCUACAGCUCAAGCUGUUGUAGCAGUCAACGCAGGUGAACGAGGACCUAAUUCAAUUUC